ACGGGUGACUAACACCUAAGGAACCUGCCUCAAGGAUUGGGAUAACUCCGAGAGAUCGGGGCUAAUACCGGAUAGUUCAACGGACCGCAUGGCCCCCUGAUGAAAGGCGCUCCCGCGUCACCUUGAGAUGGCCUUGCGGUGCGUUAGCUAGUUGGUGGGGUAACGGCCCACCAAGGCGACGAUGCAUAGCCCACCUGAAAGGGUGAUCGGCCACACUGGCACUGAGACGCGGCCCAGACUCCUACGGGAGGCAGCAGUGGGGAAUCUUCCACAAUGGACGAAAGUCUGAUGGAGCAACGCCGCGUGAGUGAUGAAUGUUUUCGGAUCGUAAAACUCUGUUGUAAGGGAAGAACACUUACGAGAGGAAAUGCUCGUACCUUGACGGUUCCUUACCAGAAAGCCACGGCUAACUACGUGCCAGCAGCCGCGGUAAUACGUAGGUGGCAAGCGUUGUCCGGAAUUAUUGGGCGUAAAGCACGCGCAGGUGGCCUUUUAAGUCUGAUGUGAACAGCCCCCGGCUCAACCGGGGAGGGCCAUUGAAAACUGGAAGGCUUUGAGUAC
rnacentral:rRNA from 1 species